rnacentral:lncRNA from 1 species
GAACAGCAACCGGCUCCGGUGCUGGCCGUGUGGUGGCCUGUGGUGAGUGGUCUCCGGCCCCUCCCUCCCUGAACGGCAGGCCGACGACAACACUCCGCUGAGGGCAGACCCCACCAGUUCGUGGCGCCAAACCCUCCGCGGCAUGCUCCUGCCGCUGCUCACGCCACUCGAUUCGUCCGGUCGGGGCAGCGGAAGGUGACCCCAUGCAGGUCUGGACACCCCGGAUUGUGUCACUCCCCGCCCUGCCCUCCUCAGGUCCCGGCUCUACGCUGCCUCCUUCCUUCCCAGCCCCUUUGUCUUGUUCACCUGUGCCUGCUCCCCACUGUCUGAUACUGCGCCUCGGAAGGCGAUCCGGGGGACACAUCCUUGGGGAUUCUUCUCCGACCUCUCAGAGCAAUGUGGUCUGUACUUUGACUUUUUGCCCCUGGUCCUCUGCACCCAGGUUUACGGCGUGGUGAAUUUCUGCUUCCGGAUUUAACACUCACAGACCAGACUGAGAAGCCUG